rnacentral:hammerhead_ribozyme from 1 species
AUCCAGCUGACGAGCUCCAAGUAGGACGAAAUGUGCAUCCUGGAU